CUAAUACAUGCAAGUCGAGCGGACCGACGGGAGCUUGCUCCCUUAGGUCAGCGGCGGACGGGUGAGUAACACGUGGGUAACCUGCCUGUAAGACUGGGAUAACUCCGGGAGACCGGGGCUAAUACCGGAUGCUUGAUUGAACCGCAUGGUUCAAUCAUAAAAGGUGGCUUUCAGCUACCACUUACAGAUGGACCCGCGGCGCAUUAGCUAGUUGGUGAGGUAACGGCUCACCAAGGCGACGAUGCGUAGCCGACCUGAGAGGGUGAUCGGCCACACUGGGACUGAGACACGGCCCAGACUCCUACGGGAGGCAGCAGUAGGGAAUCUUCCGCAAUGGACGAAAGUCUGACGGAGCAACGCCGCGUGAGUGAUGAAGGUUUUCGGAUCGUAAAACUCUGUUGUUAGGGAAGAACAAGUACCGUUCGAAUAGGGCGGCACCUUGACGGUACCUAACCAGAAAGCCACGGCUAACUACGUGCCAGCAGCCGCGGUAAUACGUAGGUGGCAAGCGUUGUCCGGAAUUAUUGGGCGUAAAGCGCGCGCAGGCGGUUUCUUAAGUCUGAUGUGAAAGCCCCCGGCUCAACCGGGGAGGGUCAUUGGAAACUGGGGAACUUGAGUGCAGAAGAGGAGAGUGGAAUUCCACGUGUAGCGGUGAAAUGCGUAGAGAUGUGGAGGA
rnacentral:rRNA from 1 species